ACACUGAGAAACCACUUGAGAAGAAAUUGG
rnacentral:piRNA from 1 species